UACGGGGGGAGCAAGCGUUGUUCGGAUUUACUGGGCGUAAAGGGCGCGUAGGCGGUCAGCACAAGUCAGUUGUGAAAUCUCCGGGCUUAACUCGGAAAGGUCAACUGAUACUGUGCGACUAGAGUGCGGAAGGGGCAACUGGAAUUCUCGGUGUAGAGGUGAAAUUCGUAGAUAUUGGGAAGAACACCGGUGGCGAAGGCGGCGACCUGGUCCGAUACUGACGCUGAGGGACGAAAGCUAGGGGAGCGAAAGGG
rnacentral:rRNA from 1 species